rnacentral:tRNA from 2 species
GCCGAUGUAGCACAGGGGUAGUGCAGCUGAUUCGUAAUCAGCAGGUCAGCGGUUCAAAUCCGCUCAUCGGCUCCA